AUGUUCCCUGCAUCUCUGCUGCUGCUCCUGCUGGCAGCUGCCUCCUAUGUGUACUGUGGUGGUCUUGAACUCAGCCAGCCAAGUUUAAUGGUUGUAAAGCCUGGAGAAUCUCCGAUCAUCACCUGUAAGGUCUCUGGGUAUUCUGUUAGUGAUAGCAGCAUAAGCUUUGCCACAGGUUGGGUUCGAAAGCCUGCAGGGAAAGCAAUGGAGUGGAUUUCCCAUAUAUGGGAUGAUGGAGAUAUAUUCGAAAAUGAUGCACUGAAAAACAAGUUCAGCAUUUCAAGAGAUGCUUCCAGCAACUCUGUGUCUUUACAAGGGCAGAGCCUGCAACCUGAAGACACAGCUGUGUAUUACUGUGUUCGCUACCCUCCACAGUGAUACAAACCAGCACCAGACCUGAACAAAUACCCAGAUACC